rnacentral:rRNA from 1 species
UCGAUUUGGAGUUUGUUGCCUAGAGUGAUGGGCUCCGAAGCUAACGCGAUAAAUCGACCGCCUGGGGAGUACGGCCGCAAGGUUAAAACUCAAAUGAAUUGACGGGGGCCCGCACAAGCGGUGGAGCAUGUGGUUUAAUUCGAUGCAACGCGAAGAACCUUACCUGGUCUUGACAUCCACAGAAUUCUCCGGAGACGGAGAAGUGCCUUCGGGAACUGUGAGACAGGUGCUGCAUGGCUGUCGUCAGCUCGUGUUGUGAAAUGUUGGGUUAAGUCCCGCAACGAGCGCAACCCUUAUCCUUUGUUGCCAGCGAUUCGGUCGGGAACUCAAAGGAGACUGCCGGUGAUAAACCGGAGGAAGGUGGGGAUGACGUCAAGUCAUCAUGGCCCUUACGACCAGGGCUACACACGUGCUACAAUGGCGCAUACAAAGAGAAGCGACCUCGCGAGAGCAAGCGGACCUCAUAAAGUGCGUCGUAGUCCGGAUCGGAGUCUGCAACUCGACUCCGUGAAGUCGAAUCGCUAGUAAUCGUGGAUCAGAAUGCCAUGGUGAAUACGUUCCCGGGCCU